rnacentral:rRNA from 1 species
GACGAACGCUGGCGGCGUGCUUAACACAUGCAAGUCGAACGGAAAGGCCCUGCUCUUGUGGGGUGCUCGAGUGGCGAACGGGUGUGUAACACGUGAGUAACCUGUCCUUGACUUUGGGAUAACUUCAGGAAACUGGGGCUAAUACCGGAUAGGAGCUCCUGCUGCAUGGUGGGGGAUGGUGAGUUUCGGCGGUUGGGGAAGGACUCGCGGCUUAUCAGCUGGUUGGGGGGGUAGUGGCUUACCAAGGCUUUGACGGGUAGCCGGCCUGAGAGGGUGACCGGCCACAUUGGGACUGAGAUACGGCCCAGACGCCUACGGGAGGCAGCAGUGGGGAAUAUUGCACAAUGGGCGGAAGCCUGAUGCAGCAACGCCGCGUGCGGGAUGACGGCCUUCGGGUUGUAAACCGCUUUCGCCUGUGACGAAGCGUGAGUGACGGUAAUGGGUAAAGAAGCACCGGCUAACUACGUG